rnacentral:rRNA from 1 species
GAUGAACGCUGGCGGCGUGCCUAAUACAUGCAAGUCGAGCGAACGGACGAGAAGCUUGCUUCUCUGAUGUUAGCGGCGGACGGGUGAGUAACACGUGGAUAACCUACCUAUAAGACUGGGAUAACUUCGGGAAACCGGAGCUAAUACCGGAUGAUAUUUUGAACCGCAUGGUUCAAAAGUGAAAGACGGGCUUGCUGUCACUUAUAGAUGGAUCCGCGCUGCAUUAGCUAGUUGGUAAGGUAACGGCUUACCAAGGCAACGAUGCAUAGCCGACCUGAGAGCGUGAUCGGCCACACUGGAACUGAGCCACGGUCCAGACUCCUACGGGAGGCAGCAGUAGGGACUCUUCCGCAAUGGGCGAAAUCCUGCCGGAGCAACGCCGCGUGAGUGAUGAAGGUCUUCGGAUCGUAAAACUCUGUUAUUAGGGAAGAACAUAUGUGUAAGUAACUGUGCACAUCUUGACGGUACCUAAUCAGAAAGCCACGGCUAGCUACGUG